rnacentral:lncRNA from 1 species
UUUUUUUUAUACAAUUUCAUUUUGUUUUGUUUGGUAGAGUUUAGAAUAAUAAUUAAAUAAUAAUUUUAUUUUAAUGUCUUUUAGUCAUUUUUAUUUUAUUAUUACUUUUUAGUCAAUUUUAAUUUUCCUAAAUCCCAAACAAGAGCAAUUAUCUAUCGUUACCAACACACAAGAUGGGAAGCACCUCCCCCAAACUAUUACAAAAUCAAUCGUGAUGCUAACCUGAGUGUUGAAGGGCGUUGGGGGCUAGGCGUGGUCAUCCGGGAUUCCGACGGUGAUGUGAUGGCAGCAGCAACGUGGGUUGAACGGAGAAGCAAAGAGGCACCGAUGAUAGAAGCUAUAUAGCUUGGUUUGGAUUUCGCGUAUCAAUUGGGAUUUCAGAACAUAGUUGUUGAAUCUGAUUGUGAAGAUGAUAACAGCUUCUUGUUCAAUAACUACAGGGUUAAUUUAGCUAAGGGAAUAGGACUUGGAUAGAUGAUGUAAUUUUCGUUAAUAUCAUUUUCGUUUUAUUCAAAAAAAAAAAAAAAAACUACUAAAUCCAAGUGUUUUGAAUCCUCCUAAAAUAAGUUUUUUGUUUGAGGGGAAAAUAAGUAUUUUAAUCAUUCC